UACAGAGGGGGCAAGCGUUGUUCGGAAUUAUUGGGCGUAAAGGGCUCGUAGGCGGUCUGUUGCGUCGGUAGUGAAAACUCAGGGCUUAACCCUGAGCCUGCUUCCGAUACGGGCAGACUAGAGGUAUGCAGGGGAGAACGGAAUUCCUGGUGUAGCGGUGAAAUGCGCAGAUAUCAGGAGGAACACCGGUGGCGAAGGCGGUUCUCUGGGCAUUACCUGACGCUGAGGAGCGAAAGUGUGGGGAGCGAACAGG
rnacentral:rRNA from 1 species